UACGGGGGGGGCAAGCGUUGUUCGGAAUUACUGGGCGUAAAGGGCUCGUAGGCGGCCAACUAAGUCAGACGUGAAAUCCCUCGGCUUAACCGGGGAACUGCGUCUGAUACUGGAUGGCUAGAGUGUGGGAGAGGGAUGCGGAAUUCCAGGUGUAGCGGUGAAAUGCGUAGAUAUCUGGAGGAACACCGGUGGCGAAGGCGGCAUCCUGGACCGGCACUGACGCUGAGGAGCGAAAGCCAGGGGAGCAAACGGG
rnacentral:rRNA from 1 species